ensembl:lncRNA
GUCCCCUCGGGUGCUCCAGGUGAUGCCCCAGUUCACCUUCGCUUGCUUCUGCGGGCUGCAUGGCUUCUGCAAGAUGAAGAGGAAGAAGGAGGAACCCAGCGGGGAGCAGGAGACGGCGGUGUGAGCAGCAGGGACAGGAGUGGGACACCGGAGCUGCUGGGGGGCAUUGGCUGUCCCCUCUCCUGUCACCUCUGCAGGGAUCCCUGUGCUGCGGAGACAUCUGCCUGGCCAGGAGGGAGCUGAAACAUGGGAGUGCCCACACCAGGAGGAACCAGCCGGCGUUGCAGACAGUACUGGGGGGCUGCAGCCAUCCUGCCACAUGUGCUGAGCCCUCUGCACCCCAACAGCCGCUGUCAGAGAAGGAUUCGCCCCGAGCCCACUGCCCUGCCCUCACCCCAGCACUGCUCUGCGGACAGACCCUAAAGGGGUUUCCAAAAUCUAGGGCCAGACCUUGUCCUGCAUGGAGUAAUAGUGCUGGGGGGGCUGCCCCAGGGUGUUUUUCUCAAGCAAAUGCCUGGGACUGCAAGAAGCCAUUCUCCACAUCUCAGCCAUGCCUGGCCCCAUGGCUGCAGCACAGUGGAUCGUGUUGGGGACACCGAGUGCACCACCCAGCUCAUGCUGGGGACACGGCGGUGCUGGCACUCGUUCCCAUGCCACUGAGAGAUGCAGCUCAGCAGGAGCUGGUUCAUGGUUGGCACAAAGGCCAGCAGCCCCCAGCUCAGGCCACUGGGCGUUCUCCGCAGGGACAUUUCUGGCACAACCGUGUCCUCCAGAGCAGAAAUCCUUAAACUCUUCCACCUGCUGUUUCCCUUCUCUACAUGGAGAACCCAAUCACAGGGGGCUGAAAGCGAUGCCCACGGGUGCCAGGCAGGAGAUGCUCACUCCGAGGGCUGCUCCUGCUCCCACCGCCUUCACCUGGCACUGUGUGGCUGAGGUCCCAUGGGUCCCCGUUUCCCCUUCACCCUCUCUGUGCAUCCUUCCUACCUAUGGUUAAAGCCAUACAGGAGCUCCCCACAUUCUGUGCCUUUUGGGGGGCGUCCCGCAGAUGUCCCCCCCCCAGCCAGCCCCUGGUGAGGGUCCCCCAUGGAUCUGGGGACAUUGCUGGGGUCUCGGUGUCACGAUGCUGGGGCGGGCUGCAGCCUGCUUCCCUGGCCCCAAGUGCACCCAAAAGUCGAGAUCUCAUUUCAGGCACUGGAACUCUGGUGCUCCCAUGGCCAAGAAACCAGAAAAGCAGCAAGGACAGCCCACAGGGAAGGUGCACACAGAGGCUCCAAGGGAAGCCGAAGCCACCGAGGUUGAUGCUGAUGCAGCCACGUUUGGGCUCAGCUGACGGUGCCCCGCUCCUGGGGGGACACAGUUGGUUCCCCCUAGUGAUGAUGUGGGAUGAUGACCCCUUUCAGGGCUGUUUUGGCAGCAGGAUCCAUCACAGUUUGGCAGCCACGGAUGUGCAAGCUAACAGCUGCUCCGAGACUCUUUGUCACUCUGGAUGCACAGAGAGCGUCCCUGCAAAGGAGCUUGUGUAUGGAGGGGGUGCUAAGGGACGAGCUGGGAGCUCUGCUGGAAGCACUGCACUCAUGCCGUGCACCCACUGUACACAGUGCAUGCACACUGCACACACUGCACAUGCCAUCUAUGGCACGUGCACGCUGCACACACUGCAUGCGGUGCACACCCAGCACACGGUGCACGCACGCUGCACGCUCUGUGCACGCACUAUUCACACACUGCUCAUGCCGUGCACACCCGCAUGGUGCACACCACGGUUGCAUGCUGGCUGCGUGCAGCAGCCCUGUGCUUGCUCAGGAGCACGCCCCAGUUGCACACUGGCAGCUCUGUGCCUGCUCGGGCUGUCCCUGGAUCUGCAGUACUCCCAUCUCCAGUGAAUGAACGUAGGACGUAGCAGCAAGACAGGCAGACGCUCACCCACACCCACUACAUAUGCAUGUGAAAACACAAUAAAUUAACCAGGUGCAGUCUGAAUGCUCA